UUAGGUUCCUCCUGACCCUGGGCACUCCAGCUUUCCAACCUGUCUGCCUGUGUCAUAUACUCCAUGACAAAUGUCUUAUGACUGGAAACAGGGAUCACAUUCCAAGUCCUUUUCUCCGCUAAGAGAAAACGACCCUUUUGAAAGUCACUGGCUGGCCAUUUCCCCAUGAAGUUUUACAUCAAGCCUAACAUGAGCAUCAUUUAUCUUAAAAUAAGCACUAUUUCCUGUUGCCUGAAACUGCGACACCAACUUAUGGUUAAGAAAGCAGGAGGGAGCCAACUCCAUUAGUUUCCACAUUGCAUUAAUAAAUUAUGAGAAUUGCUGGGUGUAAAAAUAAUCACUACCAGGACUCUUUCCAUUAGUGCAACUCUUCCAAAACUUCCUGCCCCCACCCACCUAAAAUUCGCCUUGGAUUCAAGUCUACCCUACAUAAAAGCUACUCAGCUCAUAACGUUACUUCCAAAGAAGUGAAACAAACCUCCAAUUAUCGUAACAUCAGAGGACUUUUUGGCGGACCCUUACUGCUCAACUGUGUCAGAAACCACCAAGAAAUGGCUGAGGCGUCUCUGGGGAGGAGGAAACCGCCCUUCCCGCUCACCGCUGGCCGCCUUCUCCGCAGCAGAGAAGGGAGCGGCGUUCAGGCCCGCGGAGCGCACCAGGCGCCCCGAGCUCACGUUCCAGCGGCGGGAGUCGCGGCACCGCGCGGGGAGGCCUGGCGACGUGGCCGCGGGAGGAGCGCGCGGGGCGCGCCUCACCUGUGCUCGGGACCGCCCGCCCGGAGAGGGGAAGGCGCCCGCCCGCGGGGUCUGCGGGCCGACAGUGGGCCGGGGGCUGGGGGCCCAGCGACAGCGGCGGCGACCCCCGACUUACACGGCUCGGACGGACGCCGGCGCCCGGGGCUCAGAACGCCCCAGGUGGGAGGGGUCGAGGAGAGAGGGGACCCCGGACCCGGGAGGGGCGGGGACGAGCCCGGACAUCCGACCGGGCGGGCGGCCAGGGUCGCGGCGAGCAGGGACCCCGACUCGGGCGGGGUGAGGACAGAUUCCCCUCUGGUGGAGGGCUGGGCCUUAAUGAACCUUUCCCAGCUUUGUGUCCUCGCUCAUUCCCUGCACCUCUUCACUCAGAGGGGAGGGGCACAGUCGGCCUCCCUUUCAUGCUGUCGACUGACUCAGCCCUCAGGAGCCCCGAGGAAGCUCUGUGCCUGUGAGGGGAGCCCUGGUCUUCAUUGGGAUGUCUGA
rnacentral:lncRNA from 1 species